AGCGAACGCUGGCGGCAUGCUUAACACAUGCAAGUCGCACGGCAGUAGCAAUACUGUCAGUGGCGACGGGUGAGUAACGCGUAGGAAUCUAUCCUUGAAUGGGGGACAACCGUGGAAACUACGGCUAAUACCGCAUGAUGCCUGAGGGCCAAAGACGAAAGUCGUUUGAGGAGGAGCCUGCGUCUGAUUAGGUAGUUGGUGGGGUAAAGGCCUACCCAAGCCUACGAUCAGUAGCUGGUCUGAGAGGAUGAUCAGCCACAUUGGGACUGAGACACGGCCCAAAUCCUACGGGAGGCAGCAUGGGGAAUAUUGGACAAUGGGCGCAAGCCUGAUCCAGCAAUGCCGCGUGGGUGAACGAAGGUCUUCGGACUUUGGUAAAGCCCUUUUUGGCGGGGACGAUGUAUGACGGUACCCGCAGAAUAAGCUCCGGCUAACUUCCGUG
rnacentral:rRNA from 1 species